CAAAAUAAACCAUUCAAAAAAGACCUUUCGUUUUCAACAAACAAACACAACUCGAUUUUCAAAUGCUUGUCGGUUUUCGAAAGUUGAGUGUGAUCUUUUUUCCCUUCUUGAUCUUCUUGUUAGCAUCAUUCAUAAGCUGCUCAUACACUGUUGGAUCACCCUUUGAUUUUUUCUCAUCCUCAGCCUUUUGUUCAGUUGUUGGUCCCUCUGCUGUUUCAAUUUAACUUCAUUCGUGAUCCGUUUUAGCCUUGCUGGAUCACCCUUUGAAAUCAUCUCAGCUUGAGCCCUCGGAUCGGCAUUCUCUAUCUUGCUUCCGAAUCUCUUUGGUGUUCUAAUUGGAGUCGCGUUGAGCAUUUUGCUCCAGCUCCCGACUCUGUGAAAUAAAAGCAAAGCAUCAAAAUACUCAUCCAAUCCAAUAUCUGAUAGUAGACAUGUCUGCGCCUUAUAUACUAAGAGGAGCUGCAACGCUAGCUUGGCUCGAGGAGUAGCUUAUUCACCACGCCCUACAGCCUGAGUUGUUGUUAAGGAGCAGGUGUUGAUGCAAGGUUCUAGUAUGCAAGGUGUGCGCCUCAUAUACUAACAAGAGUUACAACGAUACAAGGUAAGAGCAUACAUGGAUUUAGUAGCGUAAAGAGAAGAAGAAUAGCUAUGAAGAGAAACAAGUAAAAAGCUCCCAUGGAUUCAAUCGCAAAAGCUCAUAUGGAUUCAGUCACAAAGCGCAAUAUGUUUACUUUGACGACAGAGUAAAAGCUCAUGCAGAAAGAGGAUCUGCUAGCAUGGAUUCAGUCACAAACAACAGCAUGUUUGCGUUGUCUUGUUUCUCUCUUGUUGAUUGCUUCCUUGCAGUGAAGUAAGGUUGCUGCCAUAUAUAGGAAGAUGUAUUUUAGAGCUAUUGAAAGCCAAAUUAGUAAUUGGAAUUGAAAUUGGUUAGAUCAUAAGAUUUACAAUAGCCUCCA
rnacentral:lncRNA from 1 species